ensembl:ncRNA lncRNA:CR43262 long non-coding RNA:CR43262
UUUAAAUACUCAAUAAAUAAAUCAGGUUGUUUUAAAAAACAGACCAACUUUUGCUACAAAAAUGCCCCAACUUCGCAUUCAAUCAUAUCUGCGGCUAACAAAGCAGUGACAUGGCAUACAAGUAACAAGAGUGAUGGCCACUUAUCAAUUACAGAAAACAGAUUUUAACGGACUCCUGAUGAGUCCGAUUUUAGCCACAUUCAUAUGGUUUCGAAUGCAAACACAUUCACAUUACGGGAGAUCAAGAGAUCAAACUCCAGCGACACGCUAGGAACACAAACAAUAACAUGUCGUGGGUGUAAUUAAAAUUGGAUGACCAC